GACAGAGGGUGCAAACGUUGUUCGGAAUUACUGGGCGUAAAGCGUGUGUAGGCGGCUUUGCAAGUCGGAUGUGAAAGCCCCGGGCUCAACCCGGGAAGUGCACUCGAUACUGCAGAGCUUGAGUGUCGGAGAGGUUGGUGGAAUUCUCGGUGUAGAGGUGAAAUUCGUAGAUAUCGAGAGGAACACCGGCGGCGAAGGCGGCCAACUGGACGAACACUGACGCUGAGGCACGGAAAGCGUGGGGAGCAAACAGG
rnacentral:rRNA from 1 species